GAUGAACGCUGGCGGCGUGCCUAAUACAUGCAAGUCGAGCGAACGGACGAGAAGCUUGCUUCUCUGAUGUUAUCGGCGGACGGGUGAGUAACACGUGGAUAACCUACCUAUAAGACUGGGAUAACUUCGGGAAACCGGAGCUAAUACCGGAUAAUAUUUUGAACCGCAUGGUUCAAAAGUGAAAGACGGUCUUGCUGUCACUUAUAGAUGGAUCCGCGCUGCAUUAGCUAGUUGGUAAGGUAACGGCUUACCAAGGCAACGAUGCAUAGCCGACCUGAGAGGGUGAUCGGCCACACUGGAACUGAGACACGGUCCAGACUCCUACGGGAGGCAGCAGUAGGGAAUCUUCCGCAAUGGGCGAAAGCCUGACGGAGCAACGCCGCGUGAGUGAUGAAGGUCUUCAGAUCGUAAAACUCUGUUAUUAGGGAAGAACAUAUGUGUAAGUAACUGUGCACAUCUUGACGGUACCUAAUCAGAAAGCCACGGCUAACUACGUG
rnacentral:rRNA from 1 species